CCCACAAAAGACAAGGUGAUGAUGAUGGAAUGAUUGUUACAUAUGAAAAGCAACGUGAUGAUGAUGGAAUGAUACUUGCAAAGCCUUCACGAAAAGCAAGGUGAUGAUUACGAGUGUAGGGCUGCUGAUGGCGCACAAAGCACGAGAACAGCACAGAAAUUUUUGGCUGACAGCACACACGGAAGCAUGAGCAGGCACAAAAAUCAAAGGGGAAAAUAAUGGUUGUAUCAGAAAAAAGAGGGAGAGAAAAAGGGUGGCGGCACAGGAAGGUUUGGGGGCUAGGGUUUUCAACCUAAACCUGAUACCAUGUAAGAUUGGAUACUCUCACCACAAAUUGUGUGUGAGGUAGACAAUAUUAUUUAUAAUAAUAAAAUAACAGAAUAUGCUAAGAAUAUUCUGAGGCAUAUUACAAAAUAAAAUAAAUAAUAAUAAAGAAAAUAUCCCGUAGGAUAGUAUGCCUAUUUAUCUCUAAUAGUAACAAUGUAAUUGAAGUAGAGGAUUUGGGAAUAUCUUUACUGGAAAGUUCUGUUAGCAGACAUAGGCACUAGACAGUAGUAACAUUUAAAUAUCUUGUCAACUCAUUUACCUCAACACAAGGAGUUCUGGAUUCAUAACAAUUCACUGGAAAGUUCUGUUAGUAGACAUAGGCACUAGACAAUAGUACCAUUUAAAUGUCUUUUCUAGAAGUACUCCUAGAUUUCUAGGCUACAACUUGAAGUUUAUUAUGUAGAAUUCAGUGUGCAGUUAUUCAAUUACUAUCAACUAUUCUCUGCUCCCGACAAAGCUUGCCUCUUGUUUGGGAAACUUUUUUCUAGGAGUAACAGAUAUCUCUUUGAAUUUACCACAAAUGCUGCAGCAGAUGCAAUCACAACAGCACCUGGAGCGGCUACAACAAGCGCAGCAACUGGUACAACAGCUGCGGCAACUACCUCACUUGCAGCAACAACAACAUCACCAACAGUCGAUAGAACGUGCGCGCGAACUGCUACAACGACAGCAGCGGCUGACACAACAGUUGCGGCAACUUCCUCAAUUGCAGCAAGAACACCAACAACAACGUCCUCACUUGCAGCAGCAACAACAACAACAACUUCCUCACUUUCUGCAAGAACAACAACAACAACUUCCUCCCUUGCAGCAACAACAACCACAAGUCUUUCAACUUCAACAACAAUUCUCGCAGCUGCAGCUUCCACAGUAACAAUAAUUACAUAGCAUCAACUACUUCGUCAGUAGCAACAAAUGGUUGGGGUAGGAAUGGGUCUAAUCUAUGUUCAAUGUCCAGGAACAAGUAAGUCACUAGGAGAACAAACAUUGGUGGUGAAGGGGGUUCAUUAGGAGAACAAACAUACGCGGUUUAUAUUUUGGUUGUAUCGCCAUAUAAUUUCCUCAGCCAAUAUUUCCAUAAAAAACUGAUAGGUCAAUAAGGUCAUACAUACUUAGGCUAUGUUUGGCAUGUUUAGCUGAUAAGCUAGUUGAAAGCUGAAAAGCUAGCUGAAAGCUUAUAAGCUAGCUGAUAGCUGAAAGCUGAUAAGCUAGCUGAAAGCUGAAAAACUAGGUGAUUGAAACAAAAGUGUUUGGUAGAACUAGCUGUUAAACAAGCUGAAAUUGUAAAAUGACAUAAAAGGACAUACUUGUAUAAUUAUUUUUAUAUUUAACAUUACUUUAUUUUCACA